GACAGAGGCCUCGAGCGUUAGGCGGAAUCACUGGGCUUAAAGCGUGUGUAGGCGGAUCGUUAAGUGCCUUGUGAAAUCCCACGGCUUAACUGUGGAACGGCUGGGCAUACUGGCGGUCUUGAGCCAUCUAGGGGCGACUGGAACAAACGGUGGAGCGGUGAAAUGCGUAGAUAUCGUUUGGAACGCCAAAGGUGAAAACAGGUCGCUGGGGAUGAGCUGACGCGUGAGACACGGAAAGCCCAGGGGAGCAAACGGG
rnacentral:rRNA from 1 species